GACGAACGCUGGCGGCGUGCCUAACACAUGCAAGUCGAGCGGAGUUAUAAGGGCUUGCCUUUAUAACUUAGCGGCGGACGGGUGAGUAACGUGUGGGCAACCUGCCUUACACAGGGGGAUAACACAGGGAAACUUGUGCUAAUACCGCAUAACACAACGACAUGGCAUCAUGAUGUUGUCAAAGGAGUAAUCCAGUGUAAGAUGGGCCCGCGUCCGAUUAGCUAGUUGGUGAGGUAAUGGCUCACCAAGGCGACGAUCGGUAGCCGAACUGAGAGGUUGAUCGGCCACAUUGGGACUGAGACACGGCCCAGACUCCCACGGGAGGCAGCAGUGGGGAAUAUUGCGCAAUGGGGGAAACCCUGACGCAGCAACGCCGCGUGAAGGAUGAAGGUUUUCGGAUUGUAAACUUCUUUAGUCGGGGACGAAACAAAUGACGGUACCCGAAGAAUAAGCCACGGCUAACUACGUGCCAGCAGCCGCGGUAA
rnacentral:rRNA from 1 species